rnacentral:lncRNA from 1 species
UAACUUACCACCUCCCACAGCCCCCACAAGAGAAGUAUGGUCAGUAGUCAUGUAAACAAUGGCCCAAGCUUCUGACCUUCAGGCUAAACUCCUCCCCAGUUACCUAGCAACAGUGAAGACCAUAAAAGGGGCUCUUAGACCCCCACUCUCUUACUCUUACUCCUUUGUUCCUUUACCUCUCACUUCUCUCUCCUCUUCCCUUUCUCUUUGUCUUCUCCUCUCCUCUCUACUUCUCUCUCUCUCUAGCCUUUCCUCUCCCCCAGUUCUCUAUUCCCCCCUGCAUUUCUCUAAUAAAGCUCUUAAACCAUAGACAGCCUCUGCUCCAUCAAGACCAGCUGCACACUCUGAUGCUCAAUGUGAUCCAUAGCUUCAGCCUCCAACCACCAUCCCUUCCCCACUGGGAUGGAUUGUCCCUCCUUAUGAAUGAAUUCUUUCUAAGCAGCGUUUUUGUGGCAGUGAUGUAAAACAGAUGUUGAGUUUCCAGUUCUGCUGUGUGUGUACCAUCCCACUCCUCAUCAUGAAUGGCUUUACCAUCACAUUUCACAUUUAUCCUGUCAAGGAACUGCUGGACCACAUGAAGAGGCUGGAUUUGUGGAACGAAAGCAACAGGACCCCCGCGGCUGAGGCAAUAGCAGGAUAUCAGUGAGGAGCCCUGGUGAGGGUCUAGUGUUGAUGGUGUAGCAGAAACCAGAGACCUUGAAUCACAUCAACGAAAAUGCAGUGAACAUUUGCAAAUAAAGCUGUUUUGGCAAAAUGUUAC